UACAGAGGUCUCAAGCGUUGUUCGGAUUCAUUGGGCGUAAAGGGUGCGUAGGCGGCGCGGUAAGUCGGGUGUGAAAUUUCGAGGCUUAACUUCGAAACUGCAUUCGAUACUGCCGUGCUAGAGGACUGGAGAGGAGGCUGGAAUUUACGGUGUAGCGGUGAAAUGCGUAGAUAUCGUAAGGAAGACCAGUGGCGAAGGCGGGUCUCUGGACAGUUCCUGACGCUGAGGCACGAAGGCCAGGGGAGCAAACGGG
rnacentral:rRNA from 1 species